GUCGAACGAGAAACCUCGAAUAGAAUCUCGGGAGGAAAGGAGAGGAGAAAGUGGCGAACGGGUGAGUAACGCGUGGGCAACCUACCUCACGGAAAGGGAUAGCCUCGGGAAACCGGGAGUAAAACCAUAUAAGACCACAGCGUCGCAUGACGCAGGGGUCAAAACUCCGGUGCCGUGAGAUGGGCCCGCGUCCCAUUAGCUAGUUGGCAGGGUAAAGGCCUACCAAGGCGACGAUGGGUAGCCGGUCUGAGAGGGCGAACGGCCACAUUGGAACUGAGACACGGUCCAAACUCCUACGGGAGGCAGCAGUGGGGAAUAUUGCGCAAUGGGGGAAACCCUGACGCAGCAAUACCGCGUGAGCGAAGAAGGUUUUUGGAUCGUAAAGCUCUGUUAUCGGGGAAGAAGAAGUGACGGUACCCGAUGAGGAAGUCCCGGCUAACUACGUGCCAGCAGCCGC
rnacentral:rRNA from 1 species